CCGCCCGUAGCUCAGCUGGAUAGAGCGCUGCCCUCCGGAGGCAGAGGUCAGAGGUUCGAAUCCUCUCGGGCGGGCCA
rnacentral:tRNA from 65 species